GGGAAAAAAAUUCCUUUACAGCAACCUGAAGCCCAAGGCAGGAAAGCUGAAUUUGCUUCCAUGUAGUUCCAGCACUGAAUGUGCUUUGGCAACAUCUUCCAUAUAUUCCAGAGGCAGGAGGAGGGAGAUGGUUCAGAUUUAGUUGUCAGAGCAGAAGACUCCUCUCCCUCCUUUUUGUCAUCUCAACCAGUCAUGAGGAGGUAAAGUGGAAGGCAUUAGCUUAACAUGAAGAGCUAUGAUUUUCUUCGUUAUCUUCAAAGGAGGCAGCAUCUUGUCACCUGCCAUCUGUUUUACCUGCCAAUUAAGUGGUCCACAGGGAGCCAUACAAGGAGACAGCACCCAGCUGGGCUCAUUGGCACUCUCAGUUCUCAUUCUGAGGUUAUGAACCCUCAGAGGAUGUAGCACAGUUAUCCAUGAACCUUAACUCACCUUUUGCAUUGUACUACAUAGUAAGCUCUAUCAUUAAAAAUAUUGUCAGAAUCUGUCCUGUGUAACAAACAAUGGUAGUAAUCAAGUAUUU
rnacentral:lncRNA from 1 species